rnacentral:rRNA from 2 species
AAUCCAUAGGUUAAUGAGGCGAACCGGGGGAACUGAAACAUCUAAGUACCCCGAGGAAAAGAAAUCAACCGAGAUUCCCCCAGUAGCGGCGAGCGAACGGGGAGGAGCCCAGAGCCUGAAUCAGCAUGUGUGUUAGUGGAAGCGUCUGGAAAGGCGCGCGAUACAGGGUGACAGCCCCGUACACAAAAGCGCAUGUGCUGUGAGCUCGAUGAGUAGGGCGGGACACGUGGUAUCCUGUCUGAAUAUGGGGGGACCAUCCUCCAAGGCUAAAUACUCCUGACUGACCGAUAGUGAACCAGUACCGUGAGGGAAAGGCGAAAAGAACCCCGGCGAGGGGAGUGAAAAAGAACCUGAAACCGUGUACGUACAAGCAGUGGGAGCACCCUUCGGGGUGUGACUGCGUACCUUUUGUAUAAUGGGUCAGCGACUUAUAUUCUGUAGCAAGGUUAACCGAAUAGGGGAGCCGGAGGGAAACCGAGUCUUAAUUGGGCGUUAAGUUGCAGGGUAUAGACCCGAAACCCGGUGAUCUAGCCAUGGGCAGGUUGAAGGUUGGGUAACACUAACUGGAGGACCGAACCGACUAAUGUUGAAAAAUUAGCGGAUGACCUGUGGCUGGGGGUGAAAGGCCAAUCAAACCGGGAGAUAGCUGGUUCUCCCCGAAAGCUAUUUAGGUAGCGCCUCGUGAAUUCAUCUCCGGGGGUAGAGCACUGUUUCGGCUAGGGGGCCAUCCCGGCUUACCAACCCGAUGCAAACUGCGAAUACCGGAGAAUGUUAUCACGGGAGACACACGGCGGGUGCUAACGUCCGUCGUGAAGAGGGAAACAACCCAGACCGCCAGCUAAGGUCCCAAAGUCAUGGUUAAGUGGGAAACGAUGUGGGAAGGCCCAGACAGCCAGGAUGUUGGCUUAGAAGCAGCCAUCAUUUAAAGAAAGCGUAAUAGCUCACUGGUCGAGUCGGCCUGCGCGGAAGAUGUAACGGGGCUAAACCAUGCACCGAAGCUGCGGCAGCGAACGUAUCACCCAAGACAACUUUGCGGAGUUGACGAUUGACGGAGCGAAGCGACGUCAAAGCGUUCAUUAAAGUCGAGUUGGCUUAGGGAUACGUUCGUU